rfam:Alistipes sp. CAG:831 genomic scaffold, scf82
UCCCCCAAGCCUCUCAACGAUGCUCAAACCGGGGGGC